rnacentral:rRNA from 1 species
GAUGAACGCUGGCGGCGUGCUUAACACAUGCAAGUCGAACGAAGCACUUUUACAGAUUUCUUCGGAUUGAAAUUUUAGUGACUGAGUGGCGGACGGGUGAGUAACGCGUGGGUAACCUGCCUCACACAGGGGGAUAACAGUUGGAAACGGCUGCUAAUACCGCAUAAGCGCACGGUACCGCAUGGUACGGUGUGAAAAACUCCGGUGGUGUGAGAUGGACCCGCGUCUGAUUGGCUGGUUGGUGAGGUAACGGCCCACCAAGGCGACGAUCAGUAGCCGACCUGAGAGGGUGACCGGCCACAUUGGGACUGAGACACGGCCCAAACUCCUACGGGAGGCAGCAGUGGGGAAUAUUGCACAAUGGGGGAAACCCUGAUGCAGCGACGCCGCGUGAGCGAAGAAGUAUUCGGUAUGUAAAGCUC